rnacentral:rRNA from 1 species
CGUUAAUCGGAAUCACUGGGCGUAAAGCGCGCGUAGGCGGUUCGUUAAGUGGGAUGGGAAAUCCCCGGGCUUAACCUGGGAAUUGCAUUUCAAACUGGCCGACUAGAGUACGGUAGAGGGAGGUAGAAUUUCCUGUGUAGCGGUGAAAUGCGUAGAUAUAGGAAGGAAUACCAGUGGCGAAGGCGGCCUCCUGGAUCGAUACUGACGCUGAGGCGCGAAAGCGUGGGGAGCAAACAGG